rnacentral:rRNA from 1 species
UAUGGUGGCUAUUGCAGCGGUGUCCCACCUCUUCCCAUUCCGAACAGAGAAGUUAAGCCCGCUCACGCCGAUGGUACUGCCUGCAAAGCGGGAGAGUAGGUAGCCGCCUUUU